AGAGUUUGAUCCUGGCUCAGGAUGAACGCUGGCGGUCUGCUUAACACAUGCAAGUCGAACGCAAGUAGCAAUACUUGAGUGGCGGACGGGUGAGUAACGCGUGAGAAUCUGCCUUUUGGUCGGGGACAACCACUGGAAACGGUGGCUAAUACCGGAUAUGCCUAACGGUGAAAGAUUAAUUGCCAGAAGAGGAGCUCGCGUCUGAUUAGCUAGUUGGUGAGGUAAGAGCUCACCAAGGCAUCGAUCAGUAGCUGGUCUGAGAGGAUGAUCAGCCACACUGGGACUGAGACACGGCCCAGACUCCUACGGGAGGCAGCAGUGGGGAAUUUUCCGCAAUGGGCGAAAGCCUGACGGAGCAAGACCGCGUGAGGGAGGAAGGCUCUUGGGUUGUAAACCUCUUUUGUCAGGGAAGAACACAAUGACGGUACCUGAAGAAUCAGCAUCGGCUAACUCCGUGCCAGCAGCCGCGGUAAUACGGGGGAUGCAAGCGUUAUCCGGAAUUAUUGGGCGUAAAGCGUCCGCAGGUGGCUAAUCAAGUCUGCUGUCAAAGGUUGGGGCUUAACCCCAAAAAGGCAGUGGAAACUGAGAAGCUAGAGUGCAGUAGGGGUAGAGGGAAUUCCCGGUGUAGCGGUGAAAUGCGUAGAGAUCGGGAAGAACAUCGGUGGCGAAAGCGCUCUACUGGACUGCAACUGACACUCAGGGACGAAAGCUAGGGGAGCGAAUGGGAUUAGAUACCCCGGUAGUCC
rnacentral:rRNA from 1 species